rnacentral:tRNA from 1 species
UUAGAAAAACAGGACUCGAACCUGCACCAAGGGACUCAAAACCCCCUGCACUCCCAUUAUACUACUCUCU